CGGUAAUAAAUAAAUAAAAUUAAAACCUAUUUAUAUCGGCGGCAUUUCCUCUUAUUAGAGGAACUUGUUUUAUAAUCGACUCCACCCGAUAAAUUUAACUUUAAUCAUAAAUUUAUAUACCGCCAUUAAAGAAUUAAUAAAAUAUUUUUAUUCAAAAUAAAUUUAAAAUUUUAGGUAAAGGUGUAAUUAAUAUUAAAGAUUAAAUAAGUUACAAUUAAAAUAAUUUAACAAAUUAACAAUAAAUUGUUUUAUUAAAACGGAUUUAUAAGUAUUUAUAUAAAAUAAUUUAUAUUGAAUAAGAAUAGAAAUGUGC
rnacentral:rRNA from 1 species